rnacentral:lncRNA from 1 species
CUGUUUCGGAGAUGCCCCAGAUUCAGAGAGGAGUGUGAACACAGAGAGAGGGACCUUUGUACCAGGGACAGGGACUGCCAGAAGAGAGAGAAGUGCUGUAUCUUCAGCUGCGGAAAGAAAUGUCUAAACCCCCAACAAGGCAAUUCCACCUGAACGGGGGACCCGCUGGGAAAAUCAUCAGGAUUUGGCUUCUGCUCCAAGCUCUAUGGACCUGCUGGAUGCUCCAGGCUGGCGUCUGAGCACUCCAAGGCCUUGGGUCUUCCCAGUUACUGGAUUCUAGGAUGCCUCCCCGCCCACUCGGCCAGUUCCUAUUCCUAACUCCUACCCUUAGCUACCCUGCUCAGCUCCUCCGUCAAAAGCUCCCAGUUUGUUUCCAUGUAGCUCUCAGCUUGGUUCAGUAAAGUAUUUGACUUCG